GUGCUCGCUUCGGCCCAUAUACUAAAACUGGAAUGAAACAGAGAAGAUGAGCAUGGCCCCUGCACAAGGAUGACACAUAAGUACCCGUGAAUGUAUAUGAUAAA